AUAAGUUAGCGGCGAACUGGUGAGUAACACGUAGGUAAUCUGCCGUGAAGUGGGGGAUAACCCAUGGAAACAUGGACUAAUACCGCAUAUACUCUUGCUACAUAAGUAGAGUAGAGGAAAGUUUUUUCGCUUCACGAUGAGCCUGCGGCCUAUUAGCCUGUUGGUAGGGUAAUGGCCUACCAAAGCUACGAUAGGUAGCCGACCUGAGAGGGUGACCGGCCACAUUGGGACUGAGAUACGGCCCAGACUCCUACGGGAGGCAGCAGCUGAGAAUCUUCCACAAUGGACGAAAGUCUGAUGGAGCGACAUCGCGUGAGGGAUGAAGGCCUUCGGGUUGUAAACCUCGGAAAUUAUCGAAGAAUGAGUGACAGUAGAUAAUGUAAGCCUCGGCUAACUACG
rnacentral:rRNA from 1 species